rnacentral:rRNA from 1 species
CACGUAGGGGGCAAGCGUUGUCCGGAUUUAUUGGGCGUAAAGAGCUCGUAGGCGGCUUAGUAAGUCGGGUGUGAAACCUCCAGGCUCAACCUGGAGACGCCACCCGAUACUGCUGUGGCUAGAGUCCGGUAGGGGAGACUGGAAUUCCUGGUGUAGCGGUGAAAUGCGCAGAUAUCAGGAGGAACACCGAUGGCGAAGGCAGGUCUCUGGGCCACUACUGACGCUGAGAAGCGAAAGCAUGGGGAGCGAACAGG